rnacentral:rRNA from 1 species
CUACGGGAGGCUGCAGUGGGGAAUAUUGCACAAUGGGCGCAAGCCUGAUGCAGCCAUGCCGCGUGUAUGAAGAAGGCCUUCGGGUUGUAAAGUACUUUCAGCGGGGAGGAAGGGAGUAAAGUUAAUACCUUUGCUCAUUGACGUUACCCGCAGAAGAAGCACCGGCUAACUCCGUGCCAGCAGCCGCGGUAAUACGGAGGGUGCAAGCGUUAAUCGGAAUUACUGGGCGUAAAGCGCACGCAGGCGGUUUGUUAAGUCAGAUGUGAAAUCCCCGGGCUCAACCUGGGAACUGCAUCUGAUACGGGCAAGCUUGAGUCUCGUAGAGGGGGGUAGAAUUCCAGGUGUAGCGGUGAAAUGCGUAGAGAUCUGGAGGAAUACCGGUGGCGAAGGCGGCCCCCUGGACGAAGACUGACGCUCAGGUGCGAAAGCGUGGGGAGCAAACAGGAUUAGAUACCCCCGUAGUC